rnacentral:rRNA from 1 species
AGAGUUUGAUCAUGGCUCAGAUUGAACGCUGGCGGCAUGCCUUACACAUGCAAGUCGAACGGCAGCAUAGGAGCUUGCUCCUGAUGGCGAGUGGCGAACGGGUGAGUAAUAUAUCGGAACGUGCCCUAGAGUGGGGGAUAACUAGUCGAAAGACUAGCUAAUACCGCAUACGAUCUACGGAUGAAAGUGGGGGAUCGCAAGACCUCAUGCUCCUGGAGCGGCCGAUAUCUGAUUAGCUAGUUGGUGGGGUAAAAGCCUACCAAGGCAACGAUCAGUAGCUGGUCUGAGAGGACGACCAGCCACACUGGGACUGAGACACGGCCCAGACUCCUACGGGAGGCAGCAGUGGGGAAUUUUGGACAAUGGGGGCAACCCUGAUCCAGCAAUGCCGCGUGAGUGAAGAAGGCCUUCGGGUUGUAAAGCUCUUUUGUCAGGGAAGAAACGGUGGUAGCGAAUAACUACUACUAAUGACGGUACCUGAAGAAUAAGCACCGGCUAACUACGUGCCAGCAGCCGCGGUAAU